rnacentral:rRNA from 1 species
AUUGAACGCUGGCGGCAUGCUUUACACAUGCAAGUCGAACGGUAACAGGCCUUCGGGUGCUGACGAGUGGCGGACGGGUGGGUAAUGCAUCGGAACGUACCCAGAGGUGGGGGAUAACGCAGCGAAAGCUGUGCUAAUACCGCAUGUGAUCUGAGGAUGAAAGCGGGGGACCGAGCAGCAAUGUUUGGCCUCGCGCCUUUGGAGCGGCCGAUGUCGGGUUAGCUAGUUGGUGGGGUAAAGGCCUACCAAGGCGACGAUCCGUAGCUGGUCUGAGAGGACGGCCGGCCACACUGGGACUGGGACACGGCCCAGACUCCUACGGGAGGCCGCAGUGGGGAAUUUUGGGCAAUGGGCGCAAGCCUGAUCCAGCAAUGCCGCGUGCGGGAAGAAGGCCUUCGGGUUGUAAACCGCUUUUGGCAGGAACGAAACGGUGUCCGCUAAUACCGGGCGCUAAUGACGGUACCUGCAGAAUAAGCACCGGCUAACUACGUG